UACACAAAUCACUGUUUACCACUACUCUGUGUCAGUUUCCUCAGCAUUGGCUAGUGAAGUAAAUUUGCUGUUGAAACUGCUGUAUGACAACCUCGAUCAGAAGUUCAAGGUCCUCCUCAGCUACAAAGAAAGUCUGAAGACAACCUGGGCUAUUAUAGAAGAUCCUCCCCCUAUUCUCACUGUAUCUAUAAUAGACUAAUUCAUUCAUUAUCAUAAUAAAGUACUGUGAAGUUUUUG